GGCGCCAUCGCCAAGCGGCAAGGCAGUGUUCUGCAAAAGCACCUAUCCCCGGUUCGAAUCCGGGUGGCGCCUCCA
rnacentral:tRNA from 1 species